rnacentral:rRNA from 1 species
UAAAGAGGUGGCAAGCGUUGUUCGGAAUUACUGGGCGUAAAGGGCGCGUAGGCGGUCUUGUAAGUCCCGUGUGAAAGCCCCCGGCUCAACUGGGGAACGGCACGGGAAACUGCGAGGCUUGAGUUCGAGAGAGGGAAGCGGAAUUCCGGGUGUAGCGGUGAAAUGCGUAGAUAUCCGGAGGAACACCAGUGGCGAAGGCGGCUUCCUGGACCGAUACUGACGCUGAGGCGCGAAAGCUAGGGGAGCAAACGGG